AUGACUAUCUGCAAGUAUUCUGUUGUUCUAGUAAAAUUUCCCUACACUCUCUUCCUCUCCCCCGGCUCCUCUUCUCCCCCUGGCCCCGUCGCCGGUGCGACCCCCACCCUGUUCCGCCGCCCUCCCUCUUCCCGAUGGCCAGAUGAGGUGGCCAUCGCCGAUCUACCCGCCGCCAGGCCCCUCACGCAGUUUGAGGACUUCCCGACCCUUCCACUGCCACGAUCGCCUACAAGGAACUACAUGGGCAUCCGGCAGUGGUCGUGGGGGACGUGGGUGGCCGAAAUCACAGGCUGCGAGACCCACAAGCGGAAGUGGGUUGAUUCGUUCCACACCGCCGAGCUCGCUGCCAUGGAAUACGACUGGUGGCAGGUCCGGUUCCAUGGCUGCAACGCGCGGCUCAACUUUCCAUUCGGCAUGGCUCCGGUCCACCUUGUCCCGCCGGAGCUGGGGAUGUAUCUGAAGCUAGUGGAGGCGGAGCAGGCGAUCUUCGCCGUCAAUGAUGGCGAAGUUAUCGUCAUCCCCGACGACGACGACAUCUACACGGGCGGCGAGGUGGGCGACGACGAUGAGAUCAACGUCGAGGAGUGGCGGAGCGACUUCCCCGACGACGACGAGGAGGAGGAUGGCACCAGCCCGAACCCAGCUCAUACCGAGGGUGGCCUCACCCGGAAGGAUUGGCUCGACCUCCACUUCAGCAGAAACUAG
rnacentral:rRNA from 1 species